UGGAUGCAGCUGUGACUGAAUUUUGUGGUGUCACAAUUAGUGUUUUACCUUUAAAAAUACAAGGAUUACCCAGCUGUUAUAUGGUGCAGGAGUGACUGGCUGGAUCUUGGUCUUACAAUUAAGCAGAAAGAAGAGCAAAGAAUUUGAGGAGAGCCCACACUUGUACCCCACACAGAAGUGUGCUCGGUCCUUAACUCUGGCAAACACGUAAAGAACUGAAAAAUUCCCUGUCUUCGGGUAUUUCUGAAUCCUGUAUCCCAAGGGUCAUUUGUGCAAUUAAUUGUUCCAGACAGACAUCAAUAGGAGAUUUAGUUUUUUGUUUACCGGUGUUCUGUGCUACAUAAUACCCAAAGCAAACCCUGAUCCGGUAUGAAUUGCAGAGUUUCACUGAAGACAAUGGUACAAUAGUGCACCCUUGUAACUGAAAGCCAGGGAUAGGAAGCUUGUGUUCUCACAGAAGUCCCACGGCAGAACGGUGUUUCAGGACACCAAGAUCUGGGCAUAUAAGUGUUUCUCUUACACACCUGCAGAAGCAUAUUUCUGCAUUACACAUCUGCCAGAGCUGACCGGUCCUUUGCCAGUGUCCAAAGGUCAUCGGUGAAGCUGACAAAAGGAUCAUCACUUCCUUGUUUGUGCUCAGCAGCUGGAUACGAGCAUUCAGCUUACAGAUGGCCAUGAACCCUCCUUGCUGUCAGCUACAAAUUCUGCAAGAGUUGAGGAGUGACCCACAAGCCAGGUAACAGGUGCAGGAAAUGCCACUGAACUCAGAAGCUUUACAGAAAUGAUUAGUGCUGGGAAUAGCAGACAAUGAAU
rnacentral:lncRNA from 1 species